rfam:Rattus norvegicus chromosome 4, whole genome shotgun sequence.
UGGCUCAGCGGUUAAGAGCACUCGACUGCUCUUCCAGAGGUCCUGGGUUCAUUUCCCAG